UUGUAGGAGUGCUUGUGUCGCAAAGCACAUCUCUUUCGAAAGCGUUCUUUGCACUUACAAUAGACAAAAUAAGUGGGAUCAGCUGCUAGGGAGAGUGGGUGCCAGCCUACAAAAGAAUUUGCCUUUGCUGUGCCAUCUUAGUGAUGAAUUAACUUCCUUUAAAAAAGAAGUUUUCUAAUAGCCUGCUGUGGACUGCAGCACAAGGAAGGGAUUUGGGUCAUUCAUGCUGAGGUUUUGCCUUAAUUCCAUAAUUCUUUUUAUUUCUUUUCCUAAUUAGAAACCUGCUCAUGGCAGUGUUUUUCUCUCAAUCCACUUACAUAACAUCACAAAGACAUAAGUGAGCUGAGCAGUUAAGGACAUUUUUCUCACGGGCUGGUGAAAAACACCCUGGCAGCUGGAGCAGAACCACUCGGCACCCACCUUUCCCUCGGUGCCUGGUGGAAAAUGGCUGGUGUGCAGGAAUGUCUGCUGGCUUCUGCAAAGCCCCCACAUCUGGGCUGAGCCAGGAACUGCUGGACUGUGUCACCCUGGCCUCGAGGAGGAGGAGAGAGGAGGUCUGCCUGGGAACCAGCGGAGUUCUGGGUUACUUGAUCAUUUUAAUGCUUCCCCUGGAUGAUGAGGGAGGCCAGCGAAUCUCUUUGGUCUGCAGAGGACUGACAAUUAGUCAGACCUGGAGAACUCAGUCUUUGAUUCACCAAGAGAGUCAACAUUUCUAAGAGAGUUUCAGGCUUCCCAGCAUCUUGGUGCUAAUAUGACUCGGCAUGCACUAGAAAAACCAUAAGUAUUCCAGGAGUUUCACUGGCAUUUGCUGCAAAUUUAAAAUGCAUUUGCUGCUUUUGUGACAAAAGAGGAAACUAUGGAGCAGCACUUACUUAGUGCAGUUGGCAACAGAAAGGACUUUUGCAGGAGAGCAGGUGUUUUUAGUGUUCUGUAACCUUGCAGGCAGAAGAUAAAAAGAAAAAGGAAGUGGGUGUAACUCCAUUGUGCUAGGCUGUAUCUUUUCUUUAGACAUUUUAAACUUGAACCAAUACUGUCCAUUUAGAUUCUAAUGUAAGCACAGAAGCAUUGGCAGCUUUGGAAAAGACACAGUAAAGACCAAAAGGUUAGCUCUGCAAAAACCACCACUUGUAGGAUAAUUGGCUGUUAGUGCCUUCAGCUUGUGUAUGUUGCAAUGAGCAUUAUUUCAUGGUUGAGCUGAAUAAGGCAGCUACACUGUUAUACUUUAGAAGUUGUAUUUUACCAGGAAAAGUAAGAUGAAAAAUCUUAACAUAAAUCUGAAUUUAGCAUGGGAUCUGUGGCAGCUGAUGCUGGACUAUCUGUUGAGAACAAGAUCAGGGCAGAGUCAGCUAGAGCAGGUUUCUCAAGGCCAUGUCCAGUUGGGUUUUGAGUAUCAGCAAUGAUGAGAGGUCACAACCUCUCUGGGGAACCUGUGCCAGUGUUUGACCACUGUCACAGGAAGGGGGAAAAAGAGCAUGUCUAAGUUUAUGGUUGAAUGGAUUUCAUGUGCUUCCACUUGUGCCCACUGCCUCUUGUCUGGAUAGCACUGAGAACAGUUGGGCUCCAUCUUCUCUACCCCUUCCCCCUAUAUCAGAUAUUUUUACACACUGAUGACCUCCUCCCUCAGCUGUCUCUUUUUGAGGUUGUACAGCCCUAGCUCUCAGUUUCUCCUUGUAUGACAGACAGUCCAUUCCCUUCAUCAUCUUCUGGCCCAUCCCCUGGUUUCACUCCAGUAAAUCCAUAUGUUCCUUGUAUGGCGAGCCCAGGACUGGACUCAGCACUCUAUAUGUGUCUCACCAGUGCUUGAGGAAGUAUCACAUCCUGCUGGCAAUGCUCCUUGGAACUUCCCCUGAAGAAGUUGGUGGGUUCCUGGUAACAGGGGCACAAUGAUAACUUAUGGUCAGCUUGGUGUCCACCAGGAUCCCCACCUCCUUUGCUGUACAGCUUCUUUUUACAAACACUUGGCCCCCACCAGGUACUGAUGUGUAGAUCUGUUUCUUCCCAGAUGUAGGAGUCUGCACGGUGCCUUGUUGAACUGCCUGAGGUUUUGUUCAGCCCAUUUCUCCUGCCUGUUGAGGUCCCUCUGGACAGCAGCCCAACCCUCCUGAGUAUCAGCCACUCCUCUCAGUUUUGUGU
rnacentral:lncRNA from 13 species